CGGACGAGCUCGGUGGACCAGCUAGCCAGCGGCUUGGGUUCGGA
rnacentral:pre_miRNA from 1 species